GAGGCUGUCAGCUCAGAAAGCACACAGCUGAUGCCGGCGUUCUUCUCCUGUCUGACACAAGAGAUCCUCACAGAUGAGAUGGAUGGACUGCUGGACACACGUGGGAUGUUUGUAAGUUGCUGAAUCCUCAGCAGGCUGUGGAUUAGGAGCUGGAGACAGAUGUUGAUGAGAACCACAGACCGGUGAAGAAACUUCAUGAGUGUAAAGGAAAGAAGACAAGAUGGGACAAGCUAGAUUUGGAAGUCCCAGGGCAGAAACAGCCAUUGCAACCCAGGGAUGAAGGGUACGCCAAGGAGAAAAGGAUGCUUAGCAAAGAGAUGAGGAUGAAGGUUGUACAUGUGUGCUGCAUAGACAUGAGUGUGCCGAGGUAUAAGCCUGCAUGAGCACAGAUGAAGAGAGCCAGCAGAGGACAUUGGUUUGUAGCAUGCUUGAAGGAAAAGCAGAAAAGAGCUGUCAAAAUGACUGAAUGGCUUGGGCACAUGUCAUCUGAGAAGGCUGCCCAGAGACAUUCCCAGGCCAGCCAACCUGCUUGGAAGAAACAGAGACCAGCUGAGCCUUCUGGAGAUGCUCAGACCAACUGAAUGGAAGGAACAUUCUUCAUCCCCUUGAGCUGCCUAAAGGCUACUCAGUGUGUUCCAGGUUCCCAGAUUUUGUGAGUUGUCACCUAUGUUGGAGUGGGCUUUGCCAAUGCAACUGUUUUUGAGUCAUU